rnacentral:rRNA from 1 species
UACGUAGGUGGCAAGCGUUGUCCGGAUUUACUGGGCGUAAAGAGCGCGCAGGCGGUCGGAUCAGUCGAAUGUGAAAGCCCCCGGCUCAACUGGGGAGGGUCAUUCGAUACUGUCCGACUCGAAGGCAGGAGAGGGAAGCGGAAUUCCCGGUGUAGUGGUGAAAUGCGUAGAUAUCGGGAGGAACACCAGUGGCGAAGGCGGCUUUCUGGACUAAUACUGACGCUGAGGUGCGAAAGCGUGGGGAGCAAACAGG